rnacentral:lncRNA from 1 species
GUCUAUUUGCAUUAUUAACUGAAAAUCCUGUGCUGAUGCUAAUUUUGAUCUUUUAUUCCACUAGCUUGUAUUGGAGCACUCAGACUUGAAGAAGAAUAUAGCAUGCAGAUGGUGAAGGAUGGAAAGCCAACCUGGAGGCACAAAUUUCAGCAGAUGCUCUGCUUCCAGGUAGUGGAAGUGACUUAUUUUCUUUUUGUGGUUCUGGGUAUUGAAGCCAGGACCUCACCCAUGCUAGGCAAAUGCUCUAACACUGAGCUACAUCCCAGACCUAGUAUAAAUGAUUUUUUUCUUUUCAGUACUAGGGAAGGGGAGAGAGCCAAGGUCCUCUACCACUGAGCUAUGUCCCCAGCCCUUUUUAGUUUUAUUUAUUUUUUCUAUUUUGAGACAGGGUCCUGCUAAAUUGCAGGCUGGACUCAAACUUGUGAUUCUCCUGCUUGGCCUCUCAACUAGCUGGGAUUACAGGCAUGCAUCACUAUACCCAGCCUUCAAAAAUGACUUUUUAACAGUGCUAAUAUCUUCAAUCCAAAAGCAACACCAUCUCCAUCCAAAGGGAAUCUUUAAAUCUCAAGAUGGAUCACCUUCACCAUGAUUAGACUGCAGAUAGAAUAAGGCCUCAUGAAGAUAUUUUUGGUGGCUUUAAAUUGUUGGGAACAGAUACAUAGAGAAGAAACUGCAACUAUGCUCUUUUUUUUUCCUGGUUCCUCAGUCUCCUGAUAUAGUUAACAUUUCACAACUAAAAUAACCUUAAUGAACACUUGAUUAUACUUUUUUUGAAGAUACAUUUCAUGACCUCAGACUGCAGAAACUGCCAUCUCCUAGGCACAGUUUACAUUUGAUCCUUUGCUUAUGUCCCGAGAGCAUCGCAUAUUGGGAGACAUUGCUUUUAUAAAGGCAGUGGCUGCUGGGCCUGGUGAUGCACACCUAUAAUCCCAGCACAUAACAUCAGUGGCCAGCUUGCCUCAGUGUUAAUAAGGACCAGCAUGCAGGUUCAGUUUUGCUCUUCACUUUGGUCCUGAAUUGAGAGCUGAGUCAAGAGAAGUCAGCAGGUCUGCUCAAAAAUGUACGGGUCUUGGGGCCAGAGAUGUAGCUCAGUAGUUCCACUACCUGCCUCACAAGCACAAGGUCCUGAGUUCGAUCCCUGGUACAAAAAAAAAAAAUGUAUGAGUCUUUUUUUUUCCCCAAAAGACAGAUUAUUAUUGAGCCCACUUCGGUCAAGGAGCACUGAAUAUUGUGUUAAAAUAGUACUUUACUUCAUGCUUGAAAUUAACAUUUUAAAGAAUCAUGUAAAUAGUUUAAAGGUAGCUGGAUUUAUUGUAGCCAAAUGAGAAAUACAGCUGUUAAUGAGAGGGCAUAACUUGUGUAGUUCUUAAUUAUUUACAUCAUUAGAGAAACACAAAUAUGACUAGUUCAGAGCAAUUUAACUUUGCAGUGAGAGUUUCUGCGUACCUUUAUAUGUGGGGAUAGCUGAGAUCCUUGGAAUUUACUUUGAGUGAAUGAUGGAAAUACCCGAGAAAACGUAGUGCUAGGACCUCUACUUUUUCUCAGGUCCAGUCACCAACUUCCUACAAACCAGGCAUGAAGAAAAACAAAAAAUAAAUUCUCCAGAAAAUAGGAUGCUUCUCUUCACCCAGGCACAGGUAUAAAGGGUACAUUUCUCAGGGCUCCCUUCUUUACUUUGAGUCUCUUAAGAGGUAUUUGAGAUGUCAGUAAGCUAAAAUUAAAUGUAUUAAUAUGGGAAGAUUGAAAUAUCAACAGAAAUGUUUGAUAGUAUAGGUGUUAUCAUUUACCUUGAAGGUAAAAUUUAUGCUGGAAAACAAGUCUGAAGGAUGAUCACUUUCAAAAUACAAACCUGGAAACUUAACCAUCAUUGGCUACUGUAACAACAAAAUUGCACAAACUAGGAUAUGUUAGAGCAAAAGUCUACCCAAGUCUGGUUUUUAACAGCUCUAAUCCAGGGUGCUUCUCAACUCUGUAACAAACAGUAUUUUAUUUUUGCCUUAUUUCCAGAUGCCAGCUUUAACACAUAUGCUCUACCCUAUUUUGAGCAGUGUAUUUUUGCUUUGAAAGGAAACUUGAAUGUGCAUUUUGUCUUCCUUUGAAUUACUUUUUGGGGCGGUCGUACUGGGGAUCUAACUCAGGACCUUGGCAGGUGGCGGAAGCACUGAGCUAAAUCCCCAGCCCUUGAAUGUUACUUUUAAUUGAACAGUAAGAAACUGAGCUCAGCAUUGACAGUCAGACUCUUAACUAAAUUUUCAACUUUUUCUGAGGUCAUCCUAAAUGAUUCCUUUUGUUUUUUUGUACCUGAGAUCGAACUCAGGACCUGUGCUUGCAAGGCAGGCAACGGCACCACUGAGCUAAAUCCUCAACUCCUUUCUUUUCUUUUUUAAAUUUAAUUUUGCUUUGUUUUUCUUUAUAAAGUGAAGAGUAUAUAACACGAGUCCCUUUUGCCCUGUACUAGUACAGUCUGGCAUCAGGAGCAGUAGUUGUUGCUCUUCUGAUUUUCAUUAAUGAAGUUUUAUGGGUUGGAAGAUCUAUUUUAUCCAGUGUUGAUUCUUUAAUUGGGCACUAUAAGUAAAUUCACUUGCUAUCCUGCUUAGUAUUUUAUAUUGAUAUUUUAUAUUUUAUAUUCCUUCUACUUCAGGAAUGGUAACCUAGGAAUAGCAACUGUGGAGUUGAAGGAUACUUUGAUCAUACUUUAAAUAACAGACAUUUUGAGGGUUUUUGGCUUUUAUAAAAACAAAACUCAGGAUCAUGUUCAUAGUUUUUUCAUUGCUUGUUGUUAGUGUUUAUUUAUUUAUUUAUUUUUGGUACUGGGGAUUGAACUCCGGUCCUUGUGCUUUUGAGGGAGGCGGUGGAACCACUGAGCUAAAUCUCCGGCCCUACUGUGUUUAUUAUUAAUGGAUUAAUAUCCUGCCCUUGUUCUUAAAGUAAUUUUAUAUGCUAAACUUUUGUUUUGUUUUCUAGCUUCUAAGAUAGAUAACAGUUAUUGCAAAGUACAUGUUUUUAAAUGAUCUCCAGUGUGGAUUGCUUCUGAGCCACUGAUGGAAUGAGUACUCCCGGAAGGAAUGUAUCAUUUGGAAUCCAGAAUCAUUCAUCAAGGAUAACUGCCUGAUCCUAUGAUUUCGUGACUGACGCUGAAAUGGAAGCCAACUGAUGCUGAAAUUUGGGGGAAAAUUACAUCUGAAGAAUGCAAGAGAAAGUAGGAAUUCAUUUCUAGCAUUCCCAAACCUGCCUUGUAUUGUCUACUGUACUAUAGUCAGAGGACAACAACUGAGUUCAUGGAAUUUGCCAGCUAAGCCUUACAACUGUCUUAAAUGUUCUUAGGAAAUACACUGAAAAGGUAAGUGAAUUGUCCAUUUAGAAGAAAGACUAAUAGGUAUUUUUAAGUCAGUUGUUAUAUUUUAAUAAAGACAGGGAGCUCCUUUAUUCCAAACUUCAAAGUCGUGCCCCUACUGGGUGACUUCAGUACUGUGGCAAACGUGGAGUUGUUCAACCAGCCUGGAGCUUUUCCUCUACUCAGCUACUAAGCCAGAACAUGCGUUGAAGUGCAUAGCAUGCUAAUUUCUGUUGUCUUGUUGUGCUCAAAUCCUUUUUUUUAAAAAAUUACUUUGUUUCAGAUGAGAUUUAGUUUUAUCACUCAGUAUAUAGAAAAGAGUGUUUAAUGUUUCAAAGAUUCAGCAUUACAUUUGCAUUAGAUAGAAUCAAGAAUAAAUUAAGGGUUUUAAAUGAUUUCUGUUAAUACCUACUUAUAUUAGUUUUGUGGAUUAUUAAAAAAUAUUAUUACAUUUAUUAUGUUCCUGUGUGAUAGGUAUUGUGCCAGGCCCUGGAAUACAGAGGGACUAGCAUGCACAGUUUAUGUCCUUUGUUCAUACAAUACAGAUAGCAUUCUGGUUUAGAGAAUCAAGAUAUGAUAUAAAAAGGCUAAUUCCAUUUUCUCAUCAAUAAUUUACUCUGAUAACUACUAUGUUAACUUAGCAUAAUAAAUUCUUUAUGAAAGUGUCUUCGUUUGUGUGUUUAACAUUUAUUAAAUACUUUGUGCCAGGUAUUGUGUUAAACUCUUUACAUAUAUUUCUUUACUCAUAUCUCUUCUUUGAGGUAGGUACUAUUACUAAAACUCAUUUUCUAAGAAAAGUAGAGAAGCUAACUAACUUAACUUGUGCUGAGUUUGCCUACCUAUGAUCUGGGACCAAUAUUUGGACCCAGGUAAGCUAAUUCCAGAAUCUACACUCUUUCUUUGGGUAUGAUGUUGAUAUGCAGUACCUGGCUAUGAGUAUCCAUAAACCAUUCCAAACUCUUAAUAGAAAUUUUCCCUAAAUUCUUCUCUAGCUCCAAGACAGUUUGCAUGCUGACCUUUCCUCUUACCCCAGGCCCCAAGUGUAAAGGACUGGAACAGAAGAGCAGAGCUUGGCAGUUACAUUUUAUAUUUAGGAUCUUGUCUCUCAGAUCCACCCCUUUUAUUUUUGGAAUGUGAGCAUUUUCUUUAGCUGCUAAAUCAUGAGAAAAUACAGCUGCUGAGAUUUUUCCUAGGAUUAAAAAAAAGAUUAGGCAUUGUUGAAGUGAAGAAAAAUUGCUCUGAGAACCACAGGUAGGUAAUUUGCCCCCUGUUGUAUGGAAAGCCCCUGCACCUCUGUCCAUU